rnacentral:lncRNA from 1 species
ACAGCAAGUCUGGCUAGAGUUUCUCAAGGGUGUGCCCAUGGGGAUUAGUGGAAAGAGCUCUGUGCUUGGGUUGGGUGGUUUGCCCACUCCACCUUUUAUUCUCCUUGGGUGGUUCAUAGGAAGAGGCCAAGAGAGAGAGAAGGAUGCUGUAUUUAUGGGAAAAGGCUACCAGAAUUUCCAUCCGAGAAAAACCCUGAAAUGAAGGAAGGAGUCUAAUCCUUUUUUUUCUGGAAGGCACUUCUUGACUUCUGUACUUUAUCUCAUCAU